UACGUAGGGGGCUAGCGUUGUCCGGAAUCAUUGGGCGUAAAGAGCGUGUAGGCGGUCCGGUAAGUCCACUGUGAAAGUCGGGGGCUCAACCCUCGAAUGCCGGUGGAUACUGUCGGGCUAGAGUGCGGAAGAGGCGAGUGGAAUUCCUGGUGUAGCGGUGAAAUGACGCAGAUAUCAGGAGGAACACCGGUGGCGAAGGCGGCCAUCUGG
rnacentral:rRNA from 1 species